GAUGAACGCUGGCGGCGUGCCUAAUACAUGCAGGUCGAGCGAACAGACGAGGAGCUUGCUCCUUUGACGUUAGCGGCGGACGGGUGAGUAACACGUGGGUAACCUACCUAUAAGACUGGGAUAACUUCGGGAAACCGGAGCUAAUACCGGAUAAUAUUUCGAACCGCAUGGUUCGAUAGUGAAAGAUGGCUUUGCUAUCACUUAUAGAUGGACCUGCGCCGUAUUAGCUAGUUGGUAAGGUAACGGCUUACCAAGGCAACGAUACGUAGCCGACCUGAGAGGGUGAUCGGCAACACUGGAACUGAGACACGGUCCAGACUCCGACGGGAGGCAGCAGUAGGGAAUCUUCCGAAAUGGGCGAAAGCCUGACGGAGAAAAGCGGCGUGAGUGAUGAAGGUCUUCGGAUCGUAAAACUCUGUUAUUAGGGAAGAACAAACGUGUAAGUAACAGUGCACGUCUUGACGGUACCUAAUCAGAAAGCCACGGCUAACUACGUG
rnacentral:rRNA from 1 species